UGGGGGAUAUUGCACAAUGGGCGAAAGCCUGAUGCAGCGACGCCGCGUGGGGGAUGAAGGCCUUCGGGUUGUAAACUUCUUUUGCUCUGAACAAGGCAUGCUAAUGGGUGUGUUGAGUGUAGGGGUUGAUUAGCGCCGGCUAACUACGUGCCAGCAGCCGCGGUAAUACGUAGGGCGCGAGCGUUGUCCGGAAUUAUUGGGCGUAAAGGGCUUGUAGGUGGCUGGUUGCGUCUGUCGUGAAAGCUCAUGGCUUAACUGUGGGUUUGCGGUGGGUACGGGCUGGCUUGAGUGCAGUAGGGGAGGCUGGAAUUCCUGGUGUAGCGGUGGAAUGCGCAGAUAUCAGGAGGACUACCGGUGGCGAAGGCGGGUCUCUGGGCUGUUACUGACACUGUGGAGCGAAAGCAUGGGGAGCGAACAGG
rnacentral:rRNA from 1 species